rnacentral:lncRNA from 1 species
UCAUUUCAAUUAGCCACAGCCAAAGUCACAAUGAUAUCUAUAAGAAAUUGUGAAAUAUUUUAUUCAAUAUUGUCUGUCUCCUUUGCCAGCAAAAAGGACAAAUGUUUUCUGGUAACAUUUAGAGUAUCCUAUCUUAUUGCAUUGACUAAAUAAAAUGAAUGUAAUUAAAAACAUUAUAUUUUGCCUAUUUUCUAGAAACGUGUAUAGAGAAUAGCAAUAAUGUCAUAAGUUGAUGCUUAUUGUUUAUUAUGAUUCAAAUCAUUUAAAUGUCUACUUUUUCAUAAAAUGUUGUGGUUUAAAAAGAGCACAUUUCUGCCCAAUGCCAGUUAAAAUGUCCAAAAUAGCACAUAUUUCUAUGACAGUAUAAUGCUUUUGCCAGAGUGUUGCACAUGCUUAAAGUGGUUAUGCACAUUUGAGUUCACAUUCAGGCUCCCGAGCUGUGAAUACCUUGCUACUUUAAUAUCAGUUUAUACACAUUUUCUGUAUUCCUUUUCACACGACAGUCAAACCGAGCCGAGUUGAACUGUACUGCGCUGAGCUGGUUACUCAAAAAAAAAAAUAUCUGAUAUGCUUCAGGUUGGCUCCAUAGAGUGAAUCAGCUACAGGUUGGCUCCAUAGAGUGAAUCAGCUACAGGUUGGCUCCAUAGAGUGAAUCAGCUACAGGUUGGCUCCAUAGAGUGAAUCAGCUACAGGUUGGCUCCAUAGAGUGAAUCAGGUACAGGUUGGCUCCAUAGAGUGAAUCAGCUACAGGUUGGCUCUAUAGAUUGAAUCAGGUACAGGUUGGCUCUAUAGAUUGAAUCAGGUACAGGUUGGCUCUAUAGAGUGAAUCAGCUACAGGUUGGCUCUAUAGAGUGAAUCAGGUACAGGUUGACUCUAUAGAGUGAAUCAUGUACAGGUUGGCUCUAUAGAGUGAAUCAGGUACAGGUUGGCUCUAUAGAGUGAAUCAGGUAUAGGUUGACUCUAUAGAGUGAAUCAGGUACAGGUUGACUCUAUAGAGUGAAUCAGGUACAGG